CUGUCAUGUUGAAUUGAGGAUUCUUGAACCACUAGAAAUAGGAUUGUACUUCCUGAAUGUUGGGUACCAAUCACAAGUGUAGGUAUAAGCAAAGUAUCUAGAUUAUAGGCUUUAUAGGGUUGCACUGGAUCUCAUUAUACAGGCCAGAACUGAGAAAGUCACACAUGCUGGUCAGACAUCAAGUCAGAAACAAUUUAAUUGGUAGAUAAUGUCACUUCCAGUCCAUGCAGGUGGAUUUAUUUGGGGUUUUGUUCAUUUCAGUCCUCUCUCUGUGCACCCCUGUAUGAUGCAACUACCUGAAACUAACUAAAUCAAUGAACUUCAACAUUUCAGGUGAAAGACCUAUAGUAUUAUUUUUCAGGUAGUUGCAUGCAUGAUACAUUUAAGCCUUUAAAUAGUGUGGUGGCUUAAGCUGUUUUCUCAUCACUUCUUUUGUCUGUAGUGAAAACUUUAAUUUACAACAUUUUAAUUAUAUAAUCUCUUUUUGGUCUAAUUGCAGAAUUAUUUGAUGGUGAUACAGUUCAUAGUUCAACCUCUUUAUUAAAGAAUUAUCAAUUAUUAGAAAGAAUUAAUUUUGUUAGCAGUGAUAAAACUAUCCAGACAAGUUAUUAUUAUGACUUUGUAGCCAGAUGGGUAUGAUUUUGCUUUGGCUGUUCAGCAUUUUGAUCCAUUGUGAUAUGUCUUGUGGUACCUGUGAAUGAUUUUACCUGCAAAAUGAAUGACAGAAUAUCAGAAUGUAACAUUACAUUAAGAUACAUCCUUACACUGCAAUAUAAUUAUGUAAAUAUAGGUGUUCAGUGUGAAGAAUAU